GACGAACGCUGGCGGCGUGCUUAACACAUGCAAGUCGAACGAAGUGGCGAACGGGUGAGUAACGCGUAAUCAACCUGCCCUUCAGAGGGGGACAACAGUUGGAAACGACUGCUAAUACCGCAUACGGAAGGAGUGGUUUGCGUUUGAUUAGCUAGUUGGGGGGGUAACGGCCCACCAAGGCGAUGAUCAGUAGCCGGUCUGAGAGGAUGAACGGCCACAUUGGGACUGAGACACGGCCCAGAAUCCUACGGGAGGCAGCAGUGGGGAAACGUCCGCAAUGGACGAAAGUCUGACGGAGAAACGCCGGGUGAGUGAUGACGGCCUUCGGGUUGUAAAGCUCUGUUAAUCGGGACGCGGUACCGGAAUAGAAAGCCACGGCUAACUACGUGCCAGCAGCCGCGGUAAUUC
rnacentral:rRNA from 1 species